UACAGAGGGGGCAAGCGUUGUUCGGAAUUACUGGGCGUAAAGGGCGCGUAGGCGGCCUGCUAAGUCGAACGUGAAAUCCCUGGGCUCAACCCAGGAACUGCGUCCGAUACUGGUUGGCUUGAAUCCGGGAGAGGGACGUGGAAUUCCAGGUGUAGCGGUGAAAUGCGCAGAUAUCAGGAGGAACACCGGUGGCGAAGGCGGGUCUCUGGGCCGUAACUGACGCUGAGGAGCGAAAGCGUGGGGAGCGAACAGG
rnacentral:rRNA from 1 species